rnacentral:rRNA from 2 species
CGGUAUGGGAUGGGGUCGCGUCCUAUCAGCUUGAUGGCGGGGUAACGGCCCACCAUGGCUUCGACGGGUAGCCGGCCUGAGAGGGCGACCGGCCACAUUGGGACUGAGAUACGGCCCAGACUCCUACGGGAGGCAGCAGUGGGGAAUAUUGCACAAUGGGCGCAAGCCUGAUGCAGCGACGCCGCGUGCGGGAUGACGGCCUUCGGGUUGUAAACCGCUUUUGACUGGGAGCAAGCCCUUCGGGGUGAGUGUACCUUUCGAAUAAGCACCGGCUAACUACGUGCCAGCAGCCGCGGUAAUACGUAGGGUGCAAGCGUUAUCCGGAAUUAUUGGGCGUAAAGGGCUCGUAGGCGGUUCGUCGCGUCCGGUGUGAAAGUCCAUCGCUUAACGGUGGAUCCGCGCCGGGUACGGGCGGGCUUGAGUGCGGUAGGGGAGACUGGAAUUCCCGGUGUAACGGUGGAAUGUGUAGAUAUCGGGA